rnacentral:rRNA from 1 species
UACAGAGGGUGCGAGCGUUUAAUCGGAUUUACUGGGCGUAAAGGGUGCGUAGGUGGUAAAGCAAGUAAGAUGUGAAAGCCCUGGGCUUAACCUAGGAAGUGCAUCUUAAACUGCUUAACUAGAGUAUGGUAGAGGGUAGUGGAAUUUCCGGUGUAGCGGUGAAAUGCGUAGAGAUCGGAAGGAACGCCAGUGGUGAAGACGACUACCUGGACCAAUACUGACACUGAGGCACGAAAGCGUGGGGAUCAAACAGG